rnacentral:lncRNA from 1 species
AUGUCCAUCCAUGUCCCCAAUGUGUCCCCAUCCCAAGACGUCCGUCCGUGUGUCCCACAUGCUCCUGCCCCCAAGGUGUCCGUGUGUCCUACACAGCUUUGUCCCCAAGAUGUCCAUCCAUGUGCCCUACGUGUCCCAUGUCAUCCUGUCCCCAGGAUGCCAUCCACGUGUCCCCGUGUCCCUGUCCCCAAGAUGUCCUUUUAUGGGUCCCACACUGCCUUGUCCCCAAGGUGUCUGUGUGUCCCCGUCCCCAAGAUGCCCAUAGGUGUCCACACAGCUUUGUCCCCAGGAUGCCAUCCAGUGUCCCCCGUGUCCCUGUCCCCAAGACAUCCAUCCAUGUGUCCCACGUGUCCCUGUCCCCAAGACAUCCAUCCAUGUGUCCCACGUGUCCCUGUCCCCAAGAUGUCCCUCUAUGGGUCCCACACUGCCUUGUCCCCAAGGUGUCCGUGUGUCCUCUGUGUCCCUGUCCCCAAGAUGUCCUUUUAUGGGUCCCACACAGCUUUGUCCCCAAGGUGUCUGUGUGUCCCUGUCCCCAG